AACAAACGCUGGCGGCGUGCCUAAUACAUGCAAGUCGAACGGGGAAAGCUUUCGGGCGAGUACUAGUGGCGCACGGGUGAGGAACACGUGGAUAAUCUGCCUUGGAGAGGGGGAUAACUAGUCGAAAGAUUAGCUAAUACCGAAUAAGACCACAGGAACUGAGGUUCUAGGGGUCAAAGGUUUUUCGCUCCAAGAUGAGUCCGCGUAAGAUUAGCUGGUUGGUGAGGUAAUGGCUCACCAAGGCGACGAUCUUUAACUGGUCUGAGAGGAUGAUCAGUCACACUGGAACUGAGACACGGUCCAGACUCCUACGGGAGGCAGCAGUAGGGAAUAUUGCACAAUGGAGGAAACUCUGAUGCAGCGACGCCGCGUGAGUGAUGAAGGCCUUCGGGUCGUAAAGCUCUGUCGCAGGGGAAUAAAAAAAUGAAGGUACCCUGCAAGAAAGGAUCGGCUAACUCCGUGCCAGCCGCCGCAGUAAUAC
rnacentral:rRNA from 1 species